rnacentral:rRNA from 1 species
GAUGAACGCUGGCGGCGUGCCUAAUACAUGCAAGUCGAGCGAACGGACGAGAAGCUGGCUUCUCUGAUGUUAACGGCGGAAGGGAGAGUAACACGUGGAUAACCUAACUAUAGGACUGGGAUAACUUAGGGAAGCCGGAGCUAAUACCGGACACUAUCUUGAACCGCGUGGUUCAAAAGUGAAAGACGGUCUUGCUGUACCUUAAAGCUGGAACCGCGCUGCAUUAGCUAGUUGGUAAGGUAACGGCUUACCAAGGCAGCGAUGCCUAGCCGACCUGAGAGCGUGAUCGCCCACUGUGGAGCUGAGACACGGUCCAGACUCUUACGUGCGGCCGCAGUAGGUACUGUUCCGCGAUGGGCGAAAGCUUGACGGAGCAGCGCCGCCUUAGUGCUGAAGGUCUUCGUAUCGUAAAACGCCCUUAUUGUGGAAGAACAUUUUCGUCAGGAACGGAGCUCAUCUUGACGGUACCUAAUCAGAAAGCCACGGCUAACUACGUG